rnacentral:rRNA from 1 species
ACCCCUGUGAACAUACCUAUUUGUUGCCUCGGCGGUGCCUGUUCCGACAGCCCGCCAGAGGACCCCAAACCCUGAUUACAUUUAAGAAGUCUUCUGAGUAAACCGAUUAAAUAAAUCAAAACUUUCAACAACGGAUCUCUUGGUUCUGGCAUCGAUGAAGAACGCAGCGAAAUGCGAUAAGUAAUGUGAAUUGCAGAAUUCAGUGAAUCAUCGAAUCUUUGAACGCACAUUGCGCCCGCUAGUAUUCUGGCGGGCAUGCCUGUCCGAGCGUCAUUUCAACCCUCAAGCCCCCGGGCUUGGUGUUGGGGAUCGGCGAGCCUCCGCGCCCGCCGUCCCCUAAAUCUAGUGGCGGUCUCGCUGUAGCUUCCUCUGCGUAGUAGCACACCUCGCACUGGGAAACAGCGCGGCCACGCCGUUAAACCCCCAACUUCUGAACGUUUGACCUCGGAUCAGGUAGGAAUACCCGCUGAACUUAAGCAUAUCAAUAAGCGGAGGAACUG